rnacentral:lncRNA from 1 species
GGAGUAGUUGAGUCUUGAGACGUUGAAAUAGUAAUGAAAAGGUGGUAUUCAGCCUGGAUAACCUUCUAGAAAAAAUAUUUAAUACCUUCAUAGAUAACAUUUAAUCAAAUAGAACUGGGUUUUCCAAAGGCUGGUGAUAUUAAGUUCUUAACAGCUGUAUCAUGAUGGAUCGAAAUGAUGUAAGCAUGAACAAGUGAACAAACAAAUGUAAAACAACACAAAACCCAAACAAUAAACACACACCCAAGGGUUCCUAGAUGGAUAGGAUUCCAGAACAGGAUUCAUCUGGAAGGCUUUCCUGCCUUAAUUUUUAGGUUAAAGCUUGGGUGAUAUGCAGGGGAGGGCAUCAGUACUACAAGACUGGCAAUCUGGCUAGAUUGUUCUACGGUCUGUGCUGUGCUAUUUUAUUUAUGUUAAAUAUUGUGGAUAACAUUCUUGCUAUAAAGUGACUAAAGAAGGUGCAAGGAAAAGUACCAAAGGAGUUUUAUGAAACAGCAGUUUAUUGAGAUGCUAUAUGGGAAAAAUAGAGUGGUAAAAUAUAUCUGGGAACAUUGAAAACUGAAUGCAUCUCUAGUUUUACAAGGCACAUGAAGAUAUGUGCUCCAAAAUCGGUCAGGAGAGAAGUCUGUCAAAUUCGGUAUAACCUACUUAUUUUGCCACAAAAUGCUGUUCUUUCUCCUAGGUAAUAAGUAGCAAUAUUUAACCUCUUUUAGCAACAAUGAUACAAAGAAAAAUGUAUCUCAAUUUUCUAAAAAGGCCCCAACAAUAUCAAAUUUUUAUAGUUCCCUUCAUUAUAUUAUCAAAUCACAUAAAAACUGAGGGAGAAAUGAAACAUUAAGUUAGGAUCAUACAAUUUUACAUAUUUCUAGAAGUGGCCUAAGUAACUUUAAAACCAUUAAAAGUAUAGUAGCAAUUAAUUUAUCCCUAUAAAGUUCUUUUGAAAAGCCAAUUACGAGCAUUCAGAAAUUGAGUCUCUACAGUUAUUUCUGUGAAGUUGAGCAAUUUGGUUACAAUCUGCUAGGGCAAAAAAACAGCAAAAACUGCACGUCACCAAGUGUGAAACAUUCACUGGCUUCUGUGUUCUGCUCAUUCAGUAGUAUGUUUUUCUCUCUCCCCUUAGUUUUGUAGACAGAAACAGUAAUUAUCAGUCCUGGUUGUGAUAUACUGCAGAGCAUUUGCAAUUAUUUCUAGGGCUCUUAGGAAAUCUUCAAAGCAAAAUUAAUUAAUUUCAGCAUGUGUGUACAUGCCCCAAACACACAAUUCCAAGCAAAUCAUGUAUCUUUGACUGGGUUGGGAAGUCAAGGAAUCGGAUAGUAGAGACCUGAAACUCUAAAGGUGUGGGGAUAGAAGAAGGGCAAUUAUUUGAUACUGGUAGGAUUUGCUAAGAUCUACUUGAAUGCUAAGCAAAAAACUGCGAAACAUAUAUAGUAUGGUUCUUCCUCCAAGAAACUUACUAAAUGAGACACAAAAAUUUUAAAAGAGAUUAUAAUCUGGAGAGGAAAAUUAUGAGGGACUAAUGGUAUAAAAUAACCAACUGAGUAGUUUUAUUUUUGUAUUAGCAUAAUAGUAACAUGUUUAUCUAGAAAAAUUUCUAAAAAAGGGAGACAAGGAGAAAGGAAAAAAAGGAGAGAAAAGAAGGAAAGAAGGAAGUGGGGAAAGAGAGAGAAAAAGAGAUAUUACUUAUACUUGCAGUACAAAUUUGUUUUUUGUUGUUGUUUUUUUUUUUUUUUUUUUUUUUUUUUUUGAGGCAGAGUCUCGCUCUGUUACCUAGGCUGGAGUGCAGUGGUGUGAUCAAUAGCUCAUCGCAGCCUCGACCUCCCAGACUCAAACCAUUCUUCCACCUCAACCUCCCAAGUACCUGAGACUAUAAGCACAUGCCACCAUGACCAGCUAAUUUUUCUUUUAAUUUUUAUUUUUUCUAGAGAUGGGGGUCUCACUAUGUUGCCCAGGCUGGUCUCAAACUCCUAGGCACAUGUGAUCCUCUCACCUUGGCCUCCCAAAGUGCUGGAAUUACAGGCAAGAGCCACCACACACAGCCCAGUAAAAAAGUUUAAAAAAUAAUUUCAGCCUUCUAAUUUAGUUUUUUUCCAAUUACUUACUAUUUAAACAGAACCACAGUGAAUAUUCUUGUAGCUAAAUCUUUGCACAUAUUCAUGAUUAUUUCCUAAGGCUGUAUUUCUAACAAUGGAUAUUGCUGAAACAAAGAAAAUGCAACAAAUUCAGGCUUUUCAUAUUUAUUUCCAAGUUGGUCUCCAAAAGUUGUACCAUUUUCUAUUCUUACCAGCAAGGCCCACUUCCCACCUCCUCUCUAGCUCUGAGCAUGGCUGUUUUCUAAAAGUCCUUGACAACUUGAUAGGGAAGGAGUAUGUCACCUUGUGUGUCAGUGACUCAUGCGCUGAGUGGGGGAUACAUGCGGCAUGCUCAGUGCUAUCUUGGUGUUCUUAGCACCGCGGGUUUGUCUCUAUUUGAUACAUGGCCCAUAUGGUCUCUGCCCUCAAGAGAACAGCCUUAUGCUUGGUGGCAGUGGGCAUGAAGAAGAAAGGGCUAGCCGGGCACGGUGGCUCACGCCUGUAAUCCCAGCACUUUGGGAGACUGAAGUGGGUAGAUCACUUGCGGUCAGGAGUUCGAGACCAGCCUGGCUAACAUGGUGAAACCCCGUCUCUACUAAAAAUAAUUUUUAAAAAAAUUAGCCAGGCGUGGUGGUGCGUGCCUGUAAUCCCAGCUACUUGGGAGGCUGAGGCAGAAGAAUCGCUUGAACCUGGAGGCAGAGGCUGCAGUGAGCCAAGAUUGCACCACCGUACUCCAAUCUGGGCAACAGAGCAAGACUCUGUCUCCAAAAAAAAAAAAAAAAAAGAGAGAAAAGGGCUUAUUCAAGUGCUGGAGUUUUCUAUUUCUUGAUUUGUCUUAAUUUUAAUUUUCCCAUGAGGUAUUUCUGAAGGAGAGCUCAAUAGGAUUGGAUUCUUAGAUGAAACGAUGAAAUGGAUUGCAUGAACAGUGACUGUAGGGCUGCUCGGGCUGCAAGGCAAAAGAUAGAAACUGGAAGUGGGAAACUGGAUAACUAAGAAACAUGCUUGAUUCAGGGUCAAGGAUGCAGUCACCCAGGGGAGCCUGAGUAGUGCUGGCAGUGGGAGGUGGGGAUCACUUCUGCCUUCUCUUUUUGUGAGAAUGUAUCAUGAAUUACUUGUGAAAAGAAAAAAAACAACCCAAUGAAAUCUUGUAAUGUUAGGUGUUUGAAUUUAAAGUGUUGGAACAGAAACUUGGGGCACAGGUAAGACAGCAGGGUUUCUAGUGACAAACUUGGACAUUAUCAAUAUCUAGUGGCUUUGGUUUUUGCAGAGGGAAGAUUCACUUUUCCACUACAGAAGGGCAGGAAUUUUUAAAGUCCUUUGAGGUUAACAAAAAUUUCUACAUGUGAAGGGAGGUGUGGAAAAGUGGCAGACUACUUCCCAGAACUAGGAUCUAAUUAUUAAUACUCCUUGUAGUCAGAGAUUCAGAAACAAAAUUAUUUCCUGAAGAAGCAGAUUGGGGUCCUGUGUGAAUGCGGGAAGAUCAGCUGAGCAGCACCCACACAUUCCUCUUGCAUGUCAAGUGGACAAGCCAGCUCAAAUCCACAGACAUUUUUGCACAAAACCUCCCACUACCUGCUAAAACAUAUGCACUACGCACCAGAUUCCCCACCAAAUCACUUUUUGGCAUCUACUUCCAACCUUCCGUCAUCUCCUAUGUCCUUACUCUGAAAAAUAAAAUAAUACACAUACUGGACAAAUCUUCUAAAAAGGAAGAAAUGUUUAAUAACUCCUGGAGAGAUAAAAUGCCAACGUUUAGGUAUAUUUAUGAAU